CCGAAACGACACUAAUAUAAUAAUAAACUAAGUCACUAUUGGCACUUUUCCUUAUUACAUUUUAGGAAAAGCAAGUAAAUCUAGCCUAUUUGGUCCCAGAAGGAUCUUCCUCAGGCUGAAUGCUCUCGUUGAUCAAGUCCUCCAGUUCGCGUAGGUUCACCAGUAAGAAUGCAUUUGCCAAAUGUUCUCCUUCGUUUCCCUCAGCGUUCUGGUAGUCGGUGACUCUCUUCCUCGCUUUUCCUUCCAAUUCCAGCAGACUGUAUUCCUGAUAUUCUAGCUUUUCGCUGGAUUUGGUGGUCCUCUCUUUCCAUUUAUUGAUUUGGUCAUCUGAUGGAAGAUUCCUCCACCAGUCUACCAAGAGUAAGGGUGUACUAACCAUACCGAAGCUGGGGACCUCGUGCCUCAUUUUCUACAAAACAAAAGGGUUAGACCUUACCCCCAUCGGACUCGACUAUUUAUACAUUUAUGAUCAACAUAUCGGCAUUUUGUUCUCCAAAUUAAUGCACUGAACGUGGUUGCGUCCGUUGGGAUUAUGGAAAACCCGAUGGAAUUUGGAUAAGGCUUAACUUAAAGGAUCAUUAUGUGGACAACAUAACUGACCCGACUAGGUUUGACCAUGAUGCAUGCACAAUUUAAAUAGAGUAAGGACUAUGGGGUUUUAGACUGGUACCCUCAAUCAGACAACUUGAGGGGGAAGGCACGGAUUCGUCGACUGCAUCGCUGAUCGACUUAAGGGGAAGGCACGGAACCGAAUUUAAGGGAUAUGAAGAGCGCAACCACUCAUUAAAGUGUUGCUAUAGGAUUUAAGACGCACGAGUGGAAUAUGAUGUGGAGCAUGAUUUAUGCAGCAGUUAAUAACAUGUAGGCAAGUAUUUUCAUGUAGUUAUAAAUAAAUACAACAUUUAAAUAAUUGAAAAGACAGUUACAAGAAAAGGAAAACAAAGAGACAAAUAAGUUUUCAGGGGUAAAGAAUCAUAAAUUCUUAAAAAUAGAUAGUUAAAUUCAGAUAAGGGAGCAGGGUACGAGAUAAGCAUGCUUAAACUAAUUUAAAAAGACAAGUUUGUUAUGGUAAGAGCUUAAAGGUAUCCCCAGCAGAGUCGCCAUGCUAUCGUGCCCUCUUUUUUCCCUUAGCGGGGAGUAAGUCCGGGUUUCGACAUUCAUGGGGUGUAAUGACUCAUUUCCUUUUGGGAAUUGGGUAUUUGAAGAGUCGCCACCUAAUGGAUUAUGGUGCGUUAGGGCACCUAGAGCGAUUAACUCUUUGGUUGGUUUGCAUUAGCAGAGAUUAGGGUAAGGGCUCGAAAUAACCUUGAGGGGAAUGUGUUAGGCACGCUUCUUGGUCCACAACUGUGGGUCCCGGCCGAACUUAUAUUCACAAAUUAUUCCAUACAAAAAGUUGAAUCAAAUAAGUUGUUUGUAAAGCAUAUUGAACAAUUCAAGUAGUGAAAUAAAGGUUUGAACAAAUUAUAAACAAACAAAGUUUUAAACAAGGAGAGGAUUUGGGUAAGAAGGGGUCCUAGGUUGUUUAUCCUGCAUCAACACACACCUAUUGCCGACCCGAGAAGCAUCACAAUAUACCGUGUAAGAACCUGAAUCUGUUGGAAAAACUAACACUAGAAUUGUGGUCAAGGCGGUCUUAAGCUUCUGAAAGCUCGCCUCACACUCAUCCGACCACAUGAAAGGAGCACCAUUUUGGGUCAAUUUGGUCAAGGGUUAUGCAAUAGAUGAAAAUCCCUGAAUGAACCGACGGUAAUAACCUGCCAACCCAAGAAAGCUAGGAAUAUCUGUGGCUGAGGACGGUCUAGGCAAACUCUGGACUACCUCUAUCCUCUUUGGAUUAACCUGAAUACCCUCACUAGACACCACGUGCCCCAAGAACGCCACUGAACUAAGCCAAAACUCACACUUGGAGAACUUAGCAUAAAGAUUCUCCUCCCUCAACCGCUGUAAUUCAACUCUCAAAUGCUAGGCGUGCUACUCCUGGCUACGAGAGUACACCAGGUUAUCAUUAAUGAAAAUAAUAACAAACGAGUCGAGAUAAGGUCGAAACAUGUUGUUCAUCAAAUGCAUGAACGUUGCUGGGGUAUUGGUCAGCCCAAAAGACAUCACAAGGAACUCAUAAUGACCAUAUCGAGUCUUGAAAGCUAUUUUAAGAAUGUCCAAGUCCUUAAUCUCCAACUGGUAAUACCCUGACUUGAGAUCAAUCUUGGAGAACACUCUCGCACCCUCAAUCUGGUUAAAUAAAUCAUCAAUACGAGGCAAAUGAUACUUGUUCUUGAUUAUGACUUUGUUCAACUGCCUGUAAUCAAUGCACAUUCUCAUAGUGCCAUUCUUCUUCUUCACAAAUAAAAUAGGCGCACCCCAAGGUGACACACUAGGCCGAAUAAACCCCUUAUCAAAGAGUUCCUGAAGCGGCUCCUUCAAUUCAUUUAACUCUGCUGGUGCCAUACGAUACGGUGGAAUAGAAAUGGGCUGAGUGCCUGACUCCAAAUCAAUAUCGAAACUGAAUCAAUGGUAGGAGUCUCUGUACUGACAUCCCUCACAAAGGCCAAAUAAGAAAGACAACCCUUCCUAACCAUCGUUGGGCCUUUAAAAAUGAAAUCACUCUACUGGAAUAUAAUCUGAUGAACCUCGCCACUCAAUCCGUGGCACCAUCGUCAUAGCCAAUGUUACCAUCUUAGCGUGACAGUCCAGAAUAGCAUGACACAAACACAACCAAUCCAUGGCCAAUAUCACAUCAAAAUCAAUCAUACUAAGCAGUAGAAGGUCUACUAGGGUCUCCAAACCCCCAAUAGUCACCACACAAGAUCGAUAUACGCGGUUUACAACAAUAGUAUCGCCCACCGGAGUAGAUACACAAACAGAUAAAAUAAGAGACUCAUGGGGCGUAUCCAAAUAAUGAGCAAAAUAUGAUGACACAUAUGAAAAAGUGGAACCAGGAUCAAAUAAUACAGAGGCAUCCCUGUGGCAAACUAAGAUAAUACCUGUGAUCAUAGCAUCUAAAGCAAUAGCAUCUGGUCUGGCUGGAAGUGCAUAGAAAGGUCUAACCACCACCUGAUUGACCUCCCCCUCUAGGGCGACCCCAAGCUGAAUGUCCUCCACCCCUAACUGAUUGGGCGGGUGGUGAAGUGAUUGGUGAUGAAGUCGAUAGCUGACUCCUCUACUGAGGCAGACCCCCAUGACAACGAGGACAAUGCCUCCACAUAUGCCCCAACUCCCCACACUCAUAACAACCCUCUGGUGCUGGUGACGGGGACUAAAGGGAACCCCUAACACCUGGAUGAUUGGUAGAAGAACCUGGCAUGGAGGAACCCUGAACUGAUGGAGCACGAGACGAACUCUAGGCUAGGAGGGCACUAAGUGAUGAAUGGCCCUAACUUGAACUAUGAGAACCAUGGCUUGAUGAUGCCUACGGUGAAGUGGUUGAGCUGAUUGAGCAUUUCUGAAUGGACGACUUCUAUCGUGCUAAAACUUACCCCCACGAGGAGCACCACCAAAACUACCAGAUCCACGAGGCCUUUUGACCUCCCUCUCCACUUGCUCCUGACGGUGAAUCGACUCUAUGACUCGAGCAAUGUCAACAACCUCCUCAAAAAAAGCACCAAACACCCUCUCUCUAGUCAUAAGAAUCCGUAGCUGGUAUAAGAGGCCAUCAACGAACCUCCUGAUCCUCUCCCUGUCUGUGGGAACCAACCAGAUAGCAUGAUGGACUAACUUAGAGAACCUCAUCUCAUAUUGCGUCACAGUCAUAUCAUUCUGACGCAACAGCUCGAACUGCCAGCGCAGCUCCUCUCUACGGGACUACAACAUAUAUUUCUCCAGAAAGAGAACGGAGAACUACUACAGGGUAGAGGCGCUGCACCAAUAGGCCUACACCUCUUAUAAUCCUCCCACCAAGUAAAGGCAUCUCCCGAAAACUGAAAGGUAGUGAACGAGACCCCACUAGUCUUCAUAAUACCCGCUGUACGUAGAAUCCUUUGACACUUGUCCAACAAACCCUGGGUAGCCUUGCCCUCUGUACCGCUGAAAGUCAGAGGCUGAAGUCUACCAAACCUCUCCAGUCUAUACUACUCAACAUCAAGCAUGAAUGGAACCAUAUAAUCCUGAGCAGGUGCAACUGGCUGGGCUGGUGGUGCUUCUGGUGUUUGUAGUACCGGAACAACCUACUCAGGUGUAUGGGAGAUGGGAGUCUGAGUCCCUCCCCUAGCCUAGGAAGUAGUUGUUGUAGUGGAAACAACAACCACCUAAGCAAGACUGGUCCACACGGUCAUAAUCUGAGCUAAGGUCUCUUGAAGACCUGGGAUAACAAUAGGCACAGUCGGUUCCUGGGCUGGUGUCACAUCCCAAACCUAGGGAGGUGUGGCUGGCACCCGAUGCCAUGCUGGCCUGCUAGAACCACUCUAUAACUCAGGUUUUUUUAACUAUUAAGGGCCAACAUGGCCACAUCUUGUAAUGUACAACUGUAAGUAGGCAAAAACUGUAUCAACAAACCAUUGUACAUAAAACAUGAAUACAUAUGGGCCGUCAAGGACUCUAACAUAAUGUAAAAAUGAACCUCUGUCUACAAAGCCUCUAAGAUUAUUUGACAUCAAAUGGGACGGGGCCCCUGCCUAACCAUAAGUCUGUAGCAAAACUCUGACAUGAUGACUUAUAGACUCGGUUGCACUUUGAAUGAAGUGGAGUCUUACCGAUCCUUCGAUGAAUGCUAACCUCGUCUACUAUGAGGGCUCGUCAAACUGAUUACCUAUGCUUGUAGUCAUGAAUACAACAUCCACAACAAAAAAGACGUCGGUACAAAUAAUAUACCGAGUAUGUAAGGCAGAACUGAAACAUAAUAAUAAGUCAACAUUAAUGAAAGAGAUAUAAGAAUCACACGAACCUCUAAAAUGCUACCGUAUAUGCAUACUUAUUAUACUUAUAUAUAUAUAUAUAUCCUCUUUGGAACAAUUAUCCAUGUCGAUGCGUGACUGCCCAACUGAUCAGUGGUAACUUCCCGACCGGCCGUAACUCGAUGGUAAAUUUGUUACUGCCCAACCGGUCAUAGCUCAUCGGUAAAUGCAUGACUUCCCGACCAGCCGUAGCUCGAUGGUAAAUGUGUAGCUACCCAAUCGUCCAUACCUUGAUGGUAAAUGCAUGACCGCCCGACCGGCCUUAGCUCGGUGGUAAAUAUGUAACUGCCUAACCGGCCGUAGCUCGGUGGUAAAUAAUGAUGCAUAUAGUACCAUUAUGAACAUUAAAAUCUUUAUCAAAUACCGCAAUAGGAAACUAGAUACAUACUUAGACAUGCUUGAAUAACAUUUUACGAGAAUGAAUAAAAUAGACAUCAUUAACUGCUAAGAGAAGAACCACUUAUGGAAUAUCAUUACGUUUACGUAUCGUUACUUAGAUCAUGCUAAAAAAAGGAAUUAGCCUUAACAUACCAUUAUGAUCUCUUCCUUAUUACUCAACCAAGCUCAAAAUAACUUCUUGCUUCUACAACAAGUGAAAUGAUACUGCCUUUAACAUAUAAUGUCGUACCAUCGUAUUUGGCUAGUCGUAUGAUUUAAGGAAAAUCGGGAAGCAACUCCCCUAUUUUUAAUACAUCCCAAAGACCACUAAGUGUCAUCAACAGUCCAACAAGAACAACUAUAACCAACAAUAGCAACAACAAUAAUAUAAUCCAAUAUGAGUUUCUCCAAUUAUCUUAACAAUCAUAUUAAGCGGAAAACUUGUUUAUACUCAUAAGAAGAUAUAAAUUGAAUCCAACUCGUAUUCCAUAAAUUAGUUUACAACCUUCAGAACAUCAUACUUAUAGUUUAAAACAUCCACAAAAUGCCUUUUAAAAUAGCCCUAUACUCUAGCACCUUAAAUUUUAUCGUCAAUCACUUGUUUUUCAUCUUUUCUUCUUUAAUCAACUUAAUUAACACCUAAGGAAUCUUAAAAACAGAAGCCACAAUAUUAUCAAAUUAUUUCUUAUAAUUUUCAGCCACCACAAACCAUAUAUUUAGCCACAGAACAGUCCAACCAAAAAGACAACCGUAUCCCAUGUUCCUUCAAGUACAUCUUAUGGUUUUUCACCUAAUCAACAGAACAAACACAAGAUUAACCUUAGGAACAAUCAAGAAGAUGUUAUACAUACCUUGUAUAGUAUAUACAACUUCAAACCCUAUCUCAACUUAGCUCACAAUAGCCCAUAGAAGCAUUCUCUUGUCGUUUUAAAAACAUCUUUGGUGAUGAUUUGAGUUGUUGUUUCCUUGAGUUUGGUUCUUGUGAUCUUGAUAUAUGUUAAGAAUGAUUUUGGAGAUCUUGAGAGUGGUUUUGUGUGAGUAACAUCUAUAUUGUUGACGAGGUAUAAGGGGAUAAGAUCACCGCCUCUAUUCUCCAAGCAGGUGGGUAAGCUUCCUACUUGGCAGCUUGAGUAGUGCCACUUCGGACACUUGUAUCUCUCUAAUCCGAUAUUGAAUUGACAAACGGUUUGUAGCAUGUGAAACUAGACACAUAGGGAGUUAUUUCCAUAUAAAGAUCUCAUGUAACUCUCAAUAGAUUGGGAGAAAACCACAUCGCAAAUUCGCUAUAAACCUACAUGUUUUUCUGAAAUGCGACAACGUGACUUGGCGACCCUAUUUUAAAAAUCCAUAUUUCUCUACUUCGAUAUCGUAUAAAUAAAUUGUUUGGACCGUGAAAAAUAUGUUCCAAGAACUUCAUUUUGGAAUGAGAUAUUUCCCAAAAUGACAUCAUAAAGCUUACGAAUUUAAUUUCUCAAAAUGGCUCGUUACAAGGCAAAUCUUAACUCGAUUUUUCCGUAAGUUAAAUCCAAUUUUCCCCAAACUUUAUAUUUCAUAUUCAAACAUCAUAUAUAGUCAUAUAACUACUUCAAACACAUUUAAAUCAUGAUUAACAAGUCUCAUUAAUCCUACUUAUCUAACACUUUGAUAAACCUUCCUUAGGUUUAAAGAAAGAUUUCAUCCUUUUCGAGCUUACAUCAAUUUACUUAUGGCUUACUUUCACGUACGGAAACAUUGGGUGUUCCCCGUUGUAACAUUCAUCCUUGAUCAUUGACUGAUGCGCUUAUCAUUAUCAUAACUUAUAACUUUUGUGAAUACUUUACUAUUCUUCUUGCCAUCUAGGCAACUGUUCUACGAAUAAAUCCAAAGGCUAGGACAUUCCCCCCUUUCAGACCUCUUUCUCACACCACGACCUAUGGUCAGAAUUCUUGCAAUCUUGUAACUAUUGCUACCAUGUAGCAUGUACGACUCUGUCCUUGUAUGUGCACAUAUGCGACUCUUCUAUAACCACAUUCAAUCUCUUGAAUAACACUUCACGAGAAUGAAUAACAUAUGUAUCCUUAAAUUCUAAGAGUAGAACCACUUAUGAAAUAUCAUUAUGUUUACGGAUCGUUACUUGGAUUAUGCCAAAAUAAAGAAGGAUUAGCUUUAACAUACAUGUAUGAUUUAUUCAUUAUUACUCAACCAAGUUCAAAACAACUUCUUGCAUCUACAAUAAAUGACAUGAUUUUGGCGUUAACAUUUAAUAUCAUACCAUCGUAUUUGGCUAGUUGUAUGACUUAAGGAAAAUUGGGCAGCAACUCUCCUAUUUUUAAUACAUCCCAAAGACAACUAAGGGUCAUCAACAACCCAACAACAAUAACUAUAACCAACAAUAGCAACAACAACAAUAUAAUCCAAUAUGAGUUGCUCUGAUUAUCUUAACAAUCAUAUUAAGCAACAAGCUCAUUUAUACUCAUAAGAAUAUAUAAAUUAAAUCCAACUCUUAUUCCAUAAAUUAGUUUAAAACCUUUAGAACAUCAUACUUAUAGUUUAAAACAUCCAUAAAAUGCCUUCCAAAAUAGCCCUAUACGUCUAGCACCUAACAUUUUAUCGUCAAUCACUUGUUUUUCAUCUUUUCUUCUUCAAUCAACUUACUUAACACCCAAGGAAGCUUAAAAACAGCAGCCACAAUAUUAUCAUAUUAUUUCUCACAAUUUCCAACCACCACAAACCAUAUAUUUGGCCACAACAAGUUCAACCAAAAAGACAACAGUAUCCCAUGUUCAUUUAAGUGCAUGUUAUGGUUUUUUCACCUAAUCAACACAACCAACACAAGCUUAACCUUAGGCACAAUCAAGAAGAUGUUAUACAUACCUUUUAUAGCAGAUACAACUCGAAACCCUAUCUCAACUUAGCUCACUAUAGCCCUCAAUCACACCACAACACCAUAGAAGCAUUCUCUUGUAGUCUUUAACAUCUUUGAUGAUGAUUUGAGUUGUUGUUUCCUUGAGUUUGGUACUUAUGCUCAUGAGAUAUGUUAGGAAUGAUUUUGGAGAUGUUGAGAGUGGUUUUGUUUGAGUAGCAUCUGCGUUGUUGAUGAGAUAUAAAGGGAUAAGACCACCGCCUCAAUUCUCCAAGCAUGUGGGUAAGCUGCCUGCUUGGCAGCUUGAGCAGUUUUAAAAGAAAAAUUUAAAAAUUAGGGCUUUUAGCAGAGUCAAGUUUAAAAAGCAGUAGGAACAUAGAAUCGGUCAAAAUAAACAAGGGAAAAAGGUUUAAUCAUAAAUAAAUUGGUCGAAACAGGUAUCGAAAGAACUCCGAGAAACCCUAGUUUUCAAAGAAAGUAAAAACGGUUUAGAGUAGAAGAUCUUUUAGAAGAAAACUCGUGAAUGAGAAAAUCAUAGAAGGAAUCAGGCUUAAAGCAUGAAAAUAACAUAGAUCUGAGAGAUCCAGAAGAGAGUUAAGGUUUCAAAAGGAAACCUAAGUAGAAAUCGAAAGAACCUGUUGCAACUUCACAAAUCGUAACACACAUGGUGUGAUUUUGCCCAAAAUCACACCAGAGAAGCCUUCAACAGAAUAAUCAGAAUCCCUAGGUCCAAAUCGACAUGGCCCAGGACCCUUGAGGGCCUUAGAGAUGAGGAGCAAGGCGGUGGAGUGACCAUUGGUGGCUUGGGGCUUGAGAGAUAGUCGCUGGAGAUGACCAGAGAAGGAGGUGAGUGGAGGAGUCUAGGGUUAGGUUUGAGAGAAGAGUGGAGAUUAAAGAGCAUCUGAAGGCGGC
rnacentral:lncRNA from 1 species